GCUAGAAGGUAAGCUCUGUUCCCUUGUCCAAAAUCACAUGGGGGAGCUGGCUGGGGCUCAAAAAUAUAUGUACAUAGCACUAAGGUGGAGGUCUGAUGGAACACUGAAAGGAAACAUGAUGGUGUUGAAGGAGACCACAAAUAGCAUGGUCUGGAAUGACUCAGGGGAACACCCUGUGACAGAAAGAACCCAAGAGGAAAACUGAGGUGAGGGACAACCUGCAGGGCUGCCCUGAGUCCAUGAGGGGUCACCCAGGAGGAGGCCAGUGUUUACAUCUACAGUAGAACCAGCAGAAAUGUAUCACCUCUUUUCAGGGUGCUGUUUGCUCCCAUUAAUAUCAAUGCAAGUUUUGCCUAAAUAAGGAGUGCUGGAUUGGUCCCUUUUUAUUCAUCGGAGUUAAAAAGAUAUCUGAUUUGGUGCAAAAUAGAAUUUUGAACAUAUUGUACUGAUGCUGUGGUUAAAGAUACAUUUAAGUCAAGCAAAUGUUAAGGAAGAGGUGUUGAAGCUGGGAAGGACUUGAAAAUAUGUACAAUCCUGUUUCAUCACAAGUAAAGAGAAGGUAUGAGAAAUACCCCUGAGGCUAAACCUGACGAAUCACCCUCAUGAUGAAAGGAGGAACUGAUAUGUGCAACUGCCUUGCAUUCAAGCUUCCACCCACAGAAAAACCAGCAGAAGAUGGAUGGAGUGGAGAAACCACAUAGAAAUCUCCAGAAGGUUCCUCCUACUGAAGAGAAAAUGCUGGGGAAACACAAUGGAAAGGCUUAAGCGAUCAUGAAGAAGGAGCUGUGGGCAUGUGGGAUGAGCUCUUGAAACCAGCCAGAGCCAUACUUUUUUGGGUGCUUAUGUUUCUAUAUGUCCCAUUUGAAACACCUAUGCAUGCAGAUACUACUGUGAUUGAUUAGGAUCAUAUAAGUACCUGAAUUGAUGGAUGUCUCAUGUUGGGCACCCCGAACUAGUGACUGCUUCUGAAAAUGUAACCUUUAUGAGAGCUGUAAAGGGGUUGAGGUGAUAUAAUGCCUUUCUUCCUUUGGGCAGCAUGACUUGUCAUGGAUGCAGUUGUCCUGAACUGUCUUUCCCUUCCAUGGUCUACCAAGGACAACUAUUGAAAGGUUUGCAGCUCCCAGCCAUCUUUGGCAGAGAUCUGUGUCCCUCUUGACUGGAGUUUUCCAAGGCAGUACCAUUCCUUGCCUACACUGGUAUUCCUAACAAGCCAGACUGCCCCAAAA